rnacentral:rRNA from 1 species
GACGAACGCUGGCGGCGUGCUUAACACAUGCAAGUCGAGCGGAAAGGCCCUUCGGGGUACUCGAGCGGCGAACGGGUGAGUAACACGUGAGUAAUCUGCCCUUGGCUUUGGGAUAACUACCGGAAACGGUGGCUAAUACCGGAUACAACGCACUCAGGCAUCUGAUGUGUGUGGAAAGUUUUUUCGGCCAGGGAUGUGCUCGCGGCCUAUCAGCUUGUUGGUGGGGUAAUGGCCUACCAAGGCUUCGACGGGUAGCCGGCCUGAGAGGGUGACCGGCCACACUGGGACUGAGACACGGCCCAGACUCCUACGGGAGGCAGCAGUGGGGAAUAUUGGACAAUGGGCGGAAGCCUGAUCCAGCAACGCCGCGUGAGGGAUGACGGCCUCGGUUGUAACGUACUUCAGUACCGACGAACGCGCCGAUGAUGGUGGUGACGGUAGGUAC